UGGGGAAUAUUGCACAAUGGGGGAAACCCUGAUGCAGCGACGCCGCGUGAAGGAAGAAGUAUUUCGGUAUGUAAAGCUCUAUCAGCAGGGAAGAUAAUGACGGUACCUGUACU
rnacentral:rRNA from 1 species